rnacentral:lncRNA from 1 species
CCCCUUUAAGCACCCGGAGCUUCUUGCCCCCCACCGUGGGAACUCCCACAAGCCCCUGGGCCCAGUUCCCGGAUGGGCUGGGCUAAGUUGCAUGCUGGGAUCUCUCUGAAACGCCGGGUUUCUUGAAGGCUUCGCUAGCUCCAGAAACAUCCAAGGGUCUUUGGCAACCCAGUGCCACCAAUACGGAAGGUCUUAUCUUUCUGGUUGAAAGAAGAAAUUGUUGGUUGGCUUCGGUCUCCACAGAGGGAAGAAGCCUGAAGAAGAAUGGCCAGCUCCAAUUCUCAACACACGGUCUGUGUAAGUUGGUGUUUUUCUCCUUGACACACGGGGGACUUUCAGCUUAGGUGACUCCUUCCCAUCUUUCCCUCUUGAAGCUUCCCAAGGAUCUGGAGUCCCCCAGCCCAGUCUGCCCCUUUACAGUGAGGGUUGGCAGGUCUGAGCACUUCCUGUCU